rnacentral:lncRNA from 1 species
GAGAAAAAAAGACUCAAGGCAGUGAGGUGAGGGGACCUGGUUUGCACCUCGGCAGAAGAGACACUGAGACCAGAGCGUGGGGAAGAUGGGGCCUUCUCAAGACCAAGAGUAAAGGAACAUCAGGAUUUGAAGGUAGCUCCAUCCAUGGACUUCUGGGCUAGGUUUCCUGGAACCACAUGACAGUGUCUUCCUGGGAAAGACGAAUGUGUGCAGGGGCAAGGAGAGGGCAGACACCCACACAGGGCCUCACCGGGACCCUGGCCUCACUAUGAUCUCUGCUCUGUACAGGGUGUGGGAAAGAGGGAGGCCCUUCCGCUCACCAAUGUUCAAGCUCCACAAGCAGCCAAUCGGGGCUCUGAAGGAGGGAAGAAACUUUGGUUCCCCUGGCAACACAAACAAAAGCCGCUCUCCUCAGCACCAAGCAGCUGGAGGAGGGAUGUGGACUGGAUUCCACCCAACCAGAUCUCCUCAGAAGCAGGAGCCUGGAUGAGCACAUUUCAUUCUAACUCCUGUGCUCUGGCUCAUCCAGGUCCAUCCCCAGGAGCAGGGGACCAACGGGCCAAAGAGGCUCCCGACAGUGGUGACUCCUCUUCAGUCUUUCAGAAUCCACUGACAACUAGGUUGUGGCUUAGGAUGGGGCUGGGGCUGUCCAUCCAUCAGUUCAUCACCUAGACCUUCUUCCCCGAGGCAGCUUCAGUGCCGAUGCCCACCUGGAUCUGAGCAAGCGCCCUCCCCCUUUCUCUUAAGCUCCCACUGCUGCCUCCACCCUGACUGUCUCUGAGGAGCAUCUGUGACCUGCGGUUGCUAGCCCACACUCACCAUAAAGCAAAAGGAAAG